UUGUCGAAACCUGCAAAGCAGAACGACCCGCGAACCGUUGCGAAAAUCACGGCGGGGCGUGGGGAGGGCCGCGGACACACGUCUCGCCCUCUCCCCCCGGACCCGCCCCAACGAACAAAACCCCGGCGCGAGACGCGCCAAGGAAUCGAAAACGAAAAUAUCGGGAAGGGACGGCCCGUCGGGUGCCGGGAACGGAUUUCUCGCGGACGACCCUUUCCCGUUCGGAAACAAAACGACUCUCGGCAACGGAUAUCUCGGCUCUCGCAUCGAUGAAGAACGUAGCGAAAUGCGAUACUUGGUGUGAAUUGCAGAAUCCCGUGAACCAUCGAGUCUUUGAACGCAAGUUGCGCCCGAAGCCUUCGGGCCGAGGGCACGUCUGCCUGGGUGUCAUGCAUCGUCGCCCCCUCAAUCCUUCCGACUCCCCCCGAGGGGGAAGGGGAUACGGGGCGGGCGGAGAAUGGUCUCCCGUGCGCUCCCGCUCGCGGUUGGCCGAAAUACGAGUUGUUGGCGGCCGAGGGCGUCACGGCAAGCGGUGGUUGUCAAAGACCUUCGGAGAUUGCCGUCGGCGAGGCCGUCACGAGGCUCCGGGACCCUGUUUUCUACCCACAGCGACCCCAGGUCAGGCGGGAUCACCCGCUGAG
rnacentral:rRNA from 1 species